rnacentral:rRNA from 1 species
GACGAACCGAGCGAACGUUGUUCGGAAUCACUGGGCUUAACGGGCGCGUUGGCGGGCUGUCAAGUCUGGGGUGAAAUCCCACGGCUCAACCGUGGAACUGCCGCAGAUACUGACGGCCUCGAGGGAGGUAGGGGCGAGCGGAACGGGUGGUGGAGCGGUGAAAUGCGUUGAUAUCACUCGGAACUCCGGUGGCGAAAGCGGCUCGCUGGACCUUUUCUGACGCUGAGGCGCGAAAGCUAGGGGAGCAAACGGG